GACGAACGCUGGCGGCGUGCUUAACACAUGCAAGUCGAACGGAAAGGCCCUGCUUUUGUGGGGUGCUCGAGUGGCGAACGGGUGAGUAACACGUGAGUAACCUGCCCUUGACUUUGGGAUAACUUCAGGAAACUGGGGCUAAUACCGGAUAGGAGCUCCUGCUGCAUGGUGGGGGUUGGAAAGUUUCGGCGGUUGGGGAUGGACUCGCGGCUUAUCAGCUUGUUGGUGGGGUAGUGGCUUACCAAGGCUUUGACGGGUAGCCGGCCUGGGAGGGUGACCGGCCACAUGGGGACUGAGAUACGGCCCAGACUCCUACGGGAGGCAGCAGUGGGGAAUAUUGCACAAGGGCCGGAAGCCUGAUGCAGCAACUCCGCGUGCGGGAUGACGGCCUUCGGGUUGAAAACCGCUUUCGCCUGUGACGAAGCGUGAGUGACGGUAAUGGGUAAAGAAGCACCGGCUAACUACGG
rnacentral:rRNA from 1 species